UUACCCCAUGAUGUCAGGUCCGCCGCAUCUCCUGGGUCGUGGGGUUUGUCGGCUGAUUUGUAACCAAUGCGGUUCCUCGUGCCGCGGUUGCGGUCAGCCGACGCCCAU
rnacentral:sRNA from 1 species